GCCCUCAUGGUGUAGUGGUAACACGAAGGUCUCAUAAUCCUCAGCUCUGAGUUCGAUUCUCAGUGAGGGCA